rnacentral:lncRNA from 1 species
GGAAAUCCGUUACAAUUGUGAGUGGUGAUUGGUAGGAUAAUAGGGAAAGAUUGAGGCCCCUAUUGUGGGUAAUUUGUGUUCUUCCAUAUUUGUAUUUUUUUCCUUUUUUAAUUGCUCUCUGUAUAGUUGUUAAAUAGGGAUAUGUUUAUGUAAAAGUUAAGGUUUUUGAAUGAAUUCAGAAAAUCAUUUUCUCAGUUUCUUCAUGGUAUCAGAGCCUUAUUUGCUCUAAAACCCUAAUCUGUCCAUGGAUGCCCAAAGAGGAAGCAACCACGAAAGAGUGUCGGAGAUACACUCUUCGAUGGGUCCCGUCGAUGCAUUCGACAACUCCCCACUCCACCUUACCAUUGAAAAAUUGAAUGGUAAGAAUUACAGAGAGUGGGCUCAAGCAAUCAAACUCGUAAUUGACGGAAAGGGAAAGAUAGGGUUCCUUACCGGCGAGACUCGGCGACCACCUCCGACCGAUGUAGCAGCAUCUCAGAAAUGGCGGUCAGAAAACUCCUUUAUCACCUCGUGCUUGAUUAAUUCCAUGAAACCAUCCAUUGGAAAGACUUACAUGUUUCUCCCAACGGCAAAGGACGUGUGGGAUGCGAUACGGGAAACGUAUUCCGAUGCUGAGAAUGCUUCCCAAAUCUUUGAAAUCAAGACGCGGCUUUGGCAGAUGAAGCAAGGAGAUCGGGAAGUCACGGAAUACUACACCGAGAUGCUAGGUAUGUGGCAAGAGCUCGAUCUUAGUUGCGAAGAAGAGUGGGAGUGCACGGGGGACAGCGUGCGCUUCAAGAAGAAGAUGGAGAAUGAGAGGGUCUUCGAGUUCCUAGCGGGGUUGAACCGCGAGCUUGAUGACGUUAGGAGUAGGGUUCUCAGUCGCCGGCCGUUGCCCUCCAUCCGAGAAGUCUUCUCUGAGGUGCGACGAGAGGAGAGCAGAAGGAGAGUGAUGUUAGAUCACUCAGUUGGGCCUGAGGGCUCAGCCCUUUUAACUUAUGGUCCUCAUGGGCCCCAUGGGCCUUAUGCUAUUGCUGGACGUGGGCCUUCUGUUGCUGGAUCUAGUGGGCCAAGCCCAAGACAGUCCAAGAGGACUUAUUGUGAGCAUUGUAAGAAGUUGGGCCACACUAAAGACACUUGUUGGGCCUUACAUGGCAAGCCCGCAGAUUGGAAGCCCAGACAGCCCAAUAAAGCCCACAGUCAUCAGGCCUCCACCGAAGCCCAGGCAGACAAAACUCCCAUAGAAGUUUGUCAGUCAACUUCUAGUGUGGGGUUUAAUUCCAACCAGAUUGCGAAAUUAUAUGAGCUUUUUUCUAAUUUCCAAGCCUCUGGUCAGUCUUCUACCACUUUAUCCUCUGGUUCUUUGGCAAAAAAAGGUACCUUUUUUACAGCACUUAGCACCAUGUCUCAGACUAUUCCUUGGAUUGUUGACUCUGGUGCAUCUGAUCAUAUGACAGAUGCUCAUCAUUUAUUUUCUACAUAUUCUCCCUGUGCCGGUAAUUUAAAAGUAAAAAUUGCAGAUGGUACUUUAUCACCAGUUGCUAGCAAAGGGAGUAUUCGUAUUUCUGAGUCAAUUACUCUCAACCUUGUCCUACAUGUACCUAAUUUGUCUUGCAAUUUGCUGUCUAUUAGCCAGUUAACCAAAAAGUCUAAUUGCUCAGCUAAAUUCCUAUCAUCUCACUGUGUUUUUCAGGACCUAUCAUCGGGGAAGACAAUUGGCAGUGCUAAGGAACGUGAGGGUCUAUAUUACUUCGACGAAACUGAUGUGCUUGGACAGAGUUCUCCUACUAUUUGUAAUUCUACAUCUUAUUCUAAGGAUAGUGAACUUUUGUUAUGGCACAAAAGGAUGGGUCAUCCUAGUUUUCAGUACUUAAAACAUUUAUUUCCCUCGCUAUGUUCAAACAAAACGAUAUUGGAUUUUCAGUGUGAAGUGUGUGAACUUGCCAAACAUCAUCGAACGUCUUUUCCUAAAUCUAAGUAUAAACCAUCCAUACCAUUUACUCUAAUUCACAGUGAUCUAUGGGGUCCCUCACGUACCCCUAAUAGGACCCAUAAAAAAUGGUUUAUUACUUUUAUUGAUGAUCAUACUCGCCUAUGUUGGGUAUAUUUGUUGACUGAUAAAACUGAGGUUCGAUCAGUCUUCAUGAACUUUCACAAUAUGAUACAAACUCAGUUUCACACCAAAAUUCAAAUUCUUCGUACUGAUAAUGGUACAGAGUAUUUUAAUCACUCCUUGAGCACUUACCUUCAAAAAAAUGGUAUUAUACAUCAAAGUUCUUGUGUUGACACACCUCAACAAAACGGGGUUGCAGAACGGAAAAAUAGACAUAUUCUUGAAGUUGCUCGUGCUUUGUUAUUUUCAUCUCACAUGCCAACACAAUUUUGGGGUGACUCCAUUUUGACAGCCACAUAUCUUAUUAACCGAAUGCCUAGUCGGGUCCUAUCCUUUGUCACACCCCUCCAAAAAUUCCAUGAGUUUUUUCCUCAUUCGAGACUUGAUGCACACCUUCCACUUCGUGUCUUUGGGUCCACUGUGUUUGUCCACAUUCAUGGACCUAAGCGGAACAAAUUUGAUCCCAGAGCACUUAAAUGUGUCUUUCUUGGCUACUCUUCCACACAAAAAGGCUACAAAUGCUAUGACCCAAUUUCACAGAAGCUAUAUGUUAGCCUAGAUGUCACAUUUUUUGAGCAUACUCCCUACUACUCGCUUCAGGGGGAGUCCAUGAGUGAAACUAGACCUUCCUUAACCUCUGACUAUCUUGAUGUUGCUAUGUUUGAAUCCACUCCGUGCUUUAUAUCUAACCCUUCACAUAAUACAGAAGGACACUUAAACUUAGGGGGAGAUAUGGAAUUACAGACAAAUAGGGAAACACUUGUCUAUUCAAGAAGGCCAAAAUCGAAGUUCAAUGAGACACUCAUCUCCGAAGCACUACAAGAGUCAGAAUCGGUGAUAGUUCCAACCCCUCGAGAGUAUGACUUCAAUUCUGAUCAGGUAACAGAUGACUUACCCAUUGCUAUUAGGAAACAACCUCGUUCAUGUACUCUCCAUCCUAUCUCAAACUUUGUGUCUUAUAAUUCUCUUUCUGCAAAGUGUCGUGCCUUUACAACUAACCUUGACAGAAUCCAGCUUCCUAAAAACAUUCAAGAAGCUUUCGAAAUUCCAGAAUGGAAAGAGGCUGUGAUGGAAGAAAUAAGGGCAUUAGAAAAAAAUGAGACUUGGGAAGUGAUGAAUUUACCAAGGGGGAAGAAACCAGUGGGCUGUAAAUGGAUAUUCACAAUGAAAUAUAAGGCGGAUGGCACAGUAGAACGAUACAAAGCCCGCCUAGUUGCAAAGGGGUUCACUCAGACCUAUGGCAUCGACUAUACUGAGACAUUUGCACCAGUAGCAAAGCUGAACACUAUACGAGUUCUUUUAUCCUUAGCAGCAAACCUCGACUGGCCACUCCAUCAGUUUGAUAUAAAGAAUGUCUUUCUGAAUGGAGAACUAGAAGAAGAAGUGUUUAUGAUGUUACCACCAGGGUUCUGUAAGGAAGAAGAAGAAACCAGGGUAUGCAAAUUGAAGAAAUCUCUUUAUGGUCUCAAACAAUCACCCAGAGCAUGGUUUGAUAGAUUUGCAAAGGUGAUUAAGAAUCAAGGAUACCAACAGGGACAGUCAGAUCACACAAUGUUCUUCAAACAGUCCAAUGAUGGAAGGAUGACCAUUCUAAUUGUCUAUGUCGAUGACAUCAUUCUCACUGGAGAUGACACAGGAGAAGUGGAAAGAUUAAAGAAGGUCUUAGCCACAGAAUUUGAGGUGAAAGAUCUGGGUCAAAUGCGGUAUUUCCUAGGAAUGGAGGUCGCCAGAUCAAGAAAGGGAAUUAGUAUUUCCCAAAGAAAGUAUGUACUUGAUUUGUUGACUGAGACUGGCAUGCUGGGAUGCAAGCCAAGCGAUACCCCUAUCAAGGCAAGAAACAGAAUGGAAAGUGACGGAAAGCCUGUGGAUAGAGAGAAAUAUCAGCGACUAGUAGGUAGACUGAUCUACCUUUCUCACACUAGACCUGACAUUGCUUUCGCCGUAAGCGUGGUUAGCCAAUACAUGCACUCACCAAAGGAAAGUCAUUUGGAAGCAGUGUAUAAGAUCCUCAGAUACCUAAAAGGUUCUCCAGGGAGAGGACUAUUCUUUAAGAAGAGUGACAGUAAGAAAGUAGAGAUUUACACAGAUGCAGAUUGGGCGGGAUCAGCAGAUGAUAGAAGGUCUACUACAGGUUACUGUACCUAUGUCUGGGGCAAUUUAGUAACAUGGAGAAGUAAAAAGCAGAGUGUAGUGGCUAGAAGCAGUGUCGAAGCUGAAUUCAGAGCAGUUGCACAAGGUAUGUGUGAAGGACUAUGGUUGAAAAAACUGUUGGAAGAACUAUGCAUUACAAUAGAGCUCCCCAUUAAACUCUAUUGUGACAACAAAGCUGCCAUUAGUAUUUCUCAUAAUCCUGUUCAGCACGACAGAACCAAACAUAUAGAAGUGGACAGACACUUUAUAAAGGAAAAAAUUGAGAAAGGGAUUAUUUGCAUGACUUAUAUCCCUACAAGGGAACAAUUGGCCGAUAUUUUCACCAAGGGGUUACAGAAAUCAAGCUUUGAAGACUUUAUGGGCAAGUUGGACAUGAUUAAUAUCUAUGAUCCAACUUGAGGGGGAGUGUGGAAAUCCGUUACAAUUGUGAGUGGUGAUUGGUAGGAUAAUAGGGAAAGAUUGAGGCCCCUAUUGUGGGUAAUUUGUGUUCUUCCAUAUUUGUAUUUUUUUCCUUUUUUAAUUGCUCUCUGUAUAGUUGUUAAAUAGGGAUAUGUUUAUGUAAAAGUUAAGGUUUUUGAAUGAAUUCAGAAAAUCAUUUUCUCAGUUUCUUC